GGUAGGAUUCAUAGUCUAUUUGGUACUGGAAUGUUGAGUUAGUUAAUUAGCCCUAAUAUGCUGUUGCUGUUUCUUUUGUUUUAGGUUAAAUGGAAACCACCCUUGGGAGCUGGAUGCCUGUGUAGCCAUUCUGUCACGUCAGUGAAUUGCAAUGAGUGGAGGAGGAGAGCAGCCAGAUAUCCUCAGUGUUGGAAUCCUGGUCAAAGAAAGAUGGAAAGUGUUGAGGAAGAUUGGGGGUGGGGGCUUUGGAGAAAUUUACGAUGCCUUGGACAUGCUUACCAGGGAAAAUGUUGCACUGAAGGUGGAAUCAGCUCAACAACCGAAGCAAGUUCUGAAAAUGGAGGUUGCUGUAUUGAAAAAACUACAAGGCUGCAGAGCACAAGCUGAGAGUUGGGAAGAAGGGUUACUGUUACAGGAGAGCAACUCCAUCUCUUCUGCCUUCCCUCCUUGAAGUCUCCAGCUACUGCUGCAAACUAUAAAACCUGGACAGAAUGCUUGGAGUGGCUAUUUGAGGACUCUGAAAAGUAAAUAGUAGGAGGCAGAUUGGGGAAGAAGACCAGAAUUCAAAGUACCACUGAAGCGGCGGAAUGAACAGGAAGAUAGGAAGUCUCAACAAAGAAAUAGAAGACAUAAAGAAGAACUAACUGGAAAUUUUAGAACUGAGAAAUAAAGCAAUAGAAACGAAAAACUCACUGGAUGGGCUCAAUAGCAGAGUGGACUUGACAGAUAAUAAAUAAAUACACAGAGUCUCAGGGAUCUAAGAGAUAGUAUCACAAUAUCACAAGGUGAAACAUUUAUGUCAUCAGAGACAGAUUGAGAAGAAAACGAAUGUGAUGCAGCAAAAAUAUUUGAAGAAAUAAUGAUAUAUAGGUUGGAGGAAGAAAUAAAAUUGUUCCUAUUUGUAUAUGACAUGAUGGUAUGGUAUAUGUAGAAAAUCCCAAGGAAUUCAC